rnacentral:rRNA from 1 species
CCUACGGGACGCAGCAGUGGGGAAUAUUGCACAAUGGGGGGAACCCUGAUGCAGCAAUGCCGCGUGGGUGAAGAAGCACUCCGGUGCGUAAAGCCCUGUCAGCAGGGAAGAAAAUGACAGUACCUGACCAAGAAGCCCCGGCUAACUACGUGCCAGCAGCCGCGGUAAUACGUAGGGGGCAAGCGUUAUCCGGAUUUACUGGGUGUAAAGGGAGCGCAGGCGGUAUGGCAAGUCAGAUGUGAAAACCCAGGGCCCAACCCUGGGACUGCAUUUGAAACUGCCAUACUGGAGUGCCGGAGAGGUAA